CCCGGGCCGCCCCCUGCGUGCCGCCCCCGGCCGCCAGCGCGGCGCGGAGAGGUCACCGCGGUGGCAUUCCUCCCCGCGCGCUGUUUACGUGACUUAAUGUACUUCAUACGCAGCGGCUUGUUAUCUAGGCCACCCAUGACCGACGAAAGAUCUUCCCUCCCUGCUUCUCCCAAGGCCGCUUUAAACCAAAUAAAUUUGGCUAUUAAGGGCCAAGAUGCCUGACAAAAGAUCGAAAGGUGUCUAUCCGUGAUCGCUUAAAGAAGCGGAGGAGAGGCUUGUGGCUCUCUGAUCCCGAUAAAGACAUUCCACCCGGCGCCGGCCUCCCUCCCCGCAGCCUGGUUGCGUCCUGGCACCCAGAGAUCGCCGCCUCACUGGCCCACAUCUCCACCGGCCCGGCGGGGCCGGGGUCCGUUGCACCGGGAAUGUGAACGUCCCCAGGCAGCCGGGGUCCCGGGAGCCAUGGAACUCCCGGCCUGACGGAGAUGGGCUCCCAAAACAGACACCCCGCACUUGCCAGAAAUUUAAACCGAGCUCACUGGGACCUGAGUUAUUGUCCCAUUUUGAUUAUUUUCUGAUGUUGAAUAAUUCUACCUUUCCACCCCCACUCGCGGCGGUUUUGCCGAAGGGCGCUGUGACUCCACAUCUCCGGUUUUCUGGAGCAGCUCUUCUUUUGAACCCCAGUCAGAACCAGACGGGUGAACUGGACAGCUGAGUUACACUGAGGCCAAUAAGGAGAGUUUGGACUCGCCAAUUAAGAGUGUGCAGGUGGGAGGCAGAGGUCCAAUCCCUCAGUCAUCCCCAGCUUGGGUUUGGUUAUGAAAUGCAGUGUUUAUUAUCAUUGUUAAUUAUUACUGGCAUAACCACACAAAGCCUAGGGCUGCCAGCUGGGCCGAGGCCCUGCCCCUGAGGUGAUCCUUUUCACUAAAGGCAAGGCAGGGACUAUGCACUUUCCUGACCCAGGACUGGAAAGUGGGCUUGGGGAGUCAGGUGCCACGUUCUGCGGGUUUCAUUUCUUCUUCCCUUAAGUAGGUGUAGCAUUCCCCCAUACUCUAGUCUCACCUAAGCCUUUUCUACCACUUUGCAUUAUGGGUAGUUAAGAACCUUCCAGGUGGCAAGUUAGAGAGAUUGUGCUGGCUUCCUUGCAAUGGGGAUUCUUCUUAGAUGUUCUGCUGUCUCCUUCUGUUCAGUGGUGAAGUUGGAGACAGGACUCUGAAUUCCAAAGGGGAAUCCAACAUCUUCAGUUUCUGUCUGUCACCUCAUACUGGGUCCCGGAAGUUAAGAAGACUCUCUUUUCUCAUAGCCUUCUUCCAAAUAAGGUGAACUCCAAAGACAUCCACCUCGUCUAAUCCUUCCCCUUCAUCCAGCCACCCCUCCCGGGUAAGGGGAGAUAGGGAAAAUCAGAGCCUCAGAAGGAAAGGUAUCAUUUCUGCUCCCCAGAAGGUGAAAGAGAUGCAAAAAUUUCAAACACACUAGACAUGCAAGACCCAGACUUUUCCUGGAUUUUGCUGGUAUCACUAGAUGUGCAGAUAUUGCCAAUUCUAGGAUCAGAGUCCAGAUGCCACUGCCCCAGAGCUGUCUCAGCUCAGAGACCUUUCUGUUUCUCUUUUCUUGGUUGCUGGGGAGGGGGGGUUCACAAUGUUGUAAGGCAAAGCAGAAAAGGAGGUGAUAAGCUAUUGGAGAUUUGCUAAGUAACUAAUGCUCCUCCUUGAGUCAAUUAAAGGGGAGGGAAAUGCCCCCAAAAUAAAAAAUGUCUGCAUUUACCACCCAGAA